AGCAGCCGCGGUAAUUCCAGCUCCAAUAGCGUAUAUUAAAGUUGCUGCAGUUAAAAAGCUCGUAGUUGAAUUUCGGGACUAAUAUGUCGGUCGUGCCUCGGUACGUACUGGUAUUUUUGGUUUCUCCCUUCUGACGAACCUUGAUGUCAUUAAUUUGGUGUCUUGGGAAAUCAGGACUGUUACUUUGAAAAAAUUAGAGUGUUUAAAGCAGGCUCACGCUUGAACACAUCAGCAUGGAAUAAUGAAAUAGGACGUUUGAUUCUAUUUUGUUGGUUUCUAGGAUCGACGUAAUGAUUAAUAGGGAUAGUUGGGGGCAUUAGUAUUCAAUUGUCAGAGGUGAAAUUCUUGGAUUUAUUGAAGACUAACUACUGCGAAAGCAUUUGCCAAGGAUGUUUUCAUUAAUCAAGAACGAAAGUUAGGGGAUCGAAGACGAUCAGAUACCGUCGUAGUCUUAACCAUAAACUAUGCCGACUAGGGAUCGGAUGAUGUUAAUUUUUUAAUGACUCAUUCGGCGCCUUAC
rnacentral:rRNA from 1 species